UCCUUCAAAGCCGUUCCGCUUAAAUCAAGUUCAUACAAACUCUUCAUGGUGUCCAAGAUUUCCGGGAAAAUCUCCAAUCUCGAGCAACCUUUAAGAUAGAAUCUCCUGAGAGAUUUCAAUUUAUAAAAGCUGUCAGGAAGGAAAACAACGUUUUUACAGUUGUUCAUAUUCAAAUCCUUAAGACCAAUAAGAUUGCCAAUUGAGGAUGGUAAUUCCUUCAAAGCCGUUCCGCUUAAAUCAAGUUCAUACAACCUCUUCAUGGUGUCUAAGAUUUCCGGGAAAAUCUCCAAUCUCGAGCAACCUUUAAGAUAGAAUCUCCUGAGAGAUUUCAAUUUAUAAAAGCUGUCAGGAAGGAAAACAACGUUUUUACAGUUGUUCAUAUUCAAAUCCUUAAGACCAAUAAGAUUGCCAAUUGAGGAUGGUAAUUCCUUCAAAGCCGUUCCGCUUAAAUCAAGUUCGUACAACAUCUUCAUGGUGUCCAAGAUUUCUGGGAAAAUCUCCAAUCUCGAGCAACCUUUAAAAUAGAAUCUCUCGAGAGAUUUCAAUUUAUAAAAGCUGUCAGGAAGGCGAACAAGGUUUUCACAGUCAUCCAAGCUCAAAUGCACAAGACCAAUAAGAUUGCCAAUUGAGGAUGGUAAUUCCUUCAAAGCCGUUCCUCUUAAAUCAAGUUCGUACAACAUCUUCAUGGUGUCCAUGAUUUCCGGGAAAA
rnacentral:lncRNA from 1 species